GAUGAAGAACGUAGUGAAAUGCGAUAAGUAAUGUGAAUUGCAGAAUUCAGUGAAUCAUCGAAUCUUUGAACGCACCUUGCGCCCUUUGGCUAUUCCGAAGGGCAUGCCUGUUUGAGUAUCGUGAACACCUCAACUCUCAUGGUUUGCCAUGAUGAGCUUGGACGUUGGGGGAUUUGCUGGCCUUUGGUCGGCUCCUCUCAAACGGAUCAGCUUUCCAGUGUUUGGUGGCAUCACGGGUGUGAUAACUAUCUACGCCUGUGGUUUUCUGCCAGAUAACCUUCAGCGAUGGAGGUUCGCUGGGGCUCAUAAAUGUCUCUCUUCAGUGGAGACAGCUUUUUGGACGUUUGAUCUCAAAUCAGGUAGGACUACCCGCUGAACUUAAGCAUAUCAAUAAGCGGAGGA
rnacentral:misc_RNA from 1 species